UGACAUAAGUGUCAAAAGUCAAAAUGCGUUCCCGCUUGCGGGGAAAGCAUUUUGACUUUAUGACACGCUGAAACAUUCGGAAAUAGCAAUUUUCGUAGAAAAUUAGCGGUUUCCGAAUGUUUCUAGGAUUGCGAGAGUUUUCGAAGAAAACGGAGCAAUCCGUAUGUCA
rnacentral:sRNA from 1 species